rnacentral:rRNA from 1 species
AGGGAAUUUUCCGCAAUGGGCGCAAGCCUGACGGAGCAACGCCGCGUGAGUGAGGACGGCCUUCGGGUUGUAAAACUCUGUUCUUGAGGAAGAACCCUUCCGAGGCGAACAGCCUCGGAAGUUGACGGUACUCAAGGAGAAAGCCCCGGCUAACUACGUGCCAGCAGCCGCGGUAAUACGUAGGGGGCGAGCGUUAUCCGGAAUUAUUGGGCGUAAAGCGCGCGCAGGCGGCCGAUUAAGUCAGGUGUGAAAGGCUGCGGCUCAACCGCAGAGCGGCACCUGAAACUGGCCGGCUUGAGUGCAGGAGAGGGGAGUGGAAUUCCCGGUGUAGCGGUGGAAUGCGUAGAGAUCGGGAGGAACACCAGUGGCGAAGGCGGCCCUCUGGCCUGUAACUGACGCUGAGGCGCGAAAGCGUGGGGAGCAAAC